GUCUAAGUACUAGCCGAUUUUUUUCGAAAGAAAAAAAAACAAAUGGUGAAACCGCAAAAAGCUCAUUAAAUCGGCUUUGGUUCCUUAGAUAGUUAGCAGUGAACAAUUUUUUUCUUAAUUGAAAAAAAUUACUAAACUGAUAUGGAUAACUGUGGUAAUUCUAGAGCUAAUACAUGAAAACGAUUUUUUCUAUGUGCGAAAAUCUAUUCAGAUUUUUCUAUUUGUUCACAAAUAGAAAAGUUUUUGUUUAGGUAAAUUUUUGCACGCUUUUAUUAGAGUAAAAAGCCAACUUGAUUUACGUUCGUUUUUAUAAAAAUUUUUACUCGUUGUGUAUAUAACGGUAAUUUUUUUAUUACGUUCGUAUAUAAACAUUACAAAUUUUUUUAUAUUAAAAAAAAAUUUGACUAAUGUUGAAUCUGAAUAACUUGAAUGAAUCUUUUUCGAAAAUCGAUUGCAUAAGAAAUUUGUAAAAAGAUUUUUUAUCUAUUGGUGAUUAGAAAAAGAUUUAAAGCAGACCGCAAGUGAAUGAUUAAUUUUUUUAAAAUUUAUCAAAUUGCGGCGUAUCUUUCAAUUGUCUGCCUUAUCAACUUUCGAUGGUAGAUUAUAUGUCUACCAUGGUUGUAACGGGUAACGGGGAAUCAGGGUUCGAUUCCGGAGAGGGAGCCUGAGAAACGGCUACCACAUCUAAGGAAGGCAGCAGGCACGCAAAUUACCCAUUCCCGGCACGGGGAGGUAGUGACGAAAAAUAACGAUCCGGAACUCGAAUGAGUUUCCGUAAUCGGAAUGAGUACAAUUUAAAUCCUUUAACGAGGAACUAAUGGAGGGCAAGUCUGGUGCCAGCAGCCGCGGUAAUUCCAGCUCCAUUAGCAUAUAUUAAAAUUGUUGCGUUUAAAAAGCUCGUAGUUNAAUCUCAAUCACAUACUGUCAAACGCUCAUAAUAUUUACUUAUGUGUACGUUUUUGACAAAAUUUUAAAAUUGUAUGAGAUAUGUGAACUGGUGGAUUUCAAAAAAAAUUUUCUAAAUUGUUUCGCAUAUUUAUGGUAACACAUAAAUAUCGUGCAAUUUGUAAAUUUUUUUUAAUUCGAUACGUUUGAUGUAACGUUUCUAGGGUUAUUUUUCUUUUUUAAAAAAAAAUGAAAAAAA
rnacentral:rRNA from 1 species